AUUGAACGCUGGCGGCAGGCCUAACACAUGCAAGUCGAACGAGCGGCGGACGGGUGAGUAAUGUCUGGGAAUCUGCCCGAUGGAGGGGGAUAACUACUGGAAACGGUAGCUAAUACCGCAUCCCAUCGGAUGAGCCCAGAUGGGAUUAGCUAGUAGGUGGGGUAAAGGCUCACCUAGGCGACGAUCCCUAGCUGGUCUGAGAGGAUGACCAGCCACACGGGGACUGAGACACGGCCCAGACUCCUACGGGAGGCAGCAGUGGGGAAUAUUGCACAAGGGGCGCAAGCCUGACGCAGCCAUGCCGCGUGAAUGAAGAAGGCCUUCGGGUUGUAAAGUACUGUCAGUGGGGAGGCGUUAACCGCAGAAGAAGCACCGGCUAACUCCGUGCCAGCAGCCGCGGUAAUUC
rnacentral:rRNA from 1 species